rnacentral:rRNA from 1 species
GAUGGGAGCUUGCUCCCUGAAGUCAGCGGCGGACGGGUGAGUAACACGUGGGCAACCUGCCUGUAAGACUGGGAUAACUUCGGGAAACCGGAGCUAAUACCGGAUAACACCGAGGACCUCAUGGUCCUUGGUUGAAAGAUGGCUUCGGCUAUCACUUACAGAUGGGCCCGCGGCGCAUUAGCUAGUUGGUGAGGUAACGGCUCACCAAGGCGACGAUGCGUAGCCGACCUGAGAGGGUGAUCGGCCACACUGGGACUGAGACACGGCCCAGACUCCUACGGGAGGCAGCAGUAGGGAAUCUUCCGCAAUGGACGAAAGUCUGACGGAGCAACGCCGCGUGAGCGAUGAAGGCCUUCGGGUCGUAAAGCUCUGUUGUUAGGGAAGAACAAGUACCGUUCGAAUAGGGCGGUACCUUGACGGUACCUAACCAGAAAGCCACGGCUAACUACGUGCCAGCAGCCGCGGUAAUACGUAGGUGGCAAGCGUUGUCCGGAAUUAUUGGGCGUAAAGCGCGCGCAGGCGGUUCCUUAAGUCUGAUGUGAAAGCCCACGGCUCAACCGUGGAGGGUCAUUGGAAACUGGGGAACUUGAGUGCAGAAGAGGAAAGCGGAAUUCCACGUGUAGCGGUGAAAUGCGUAGAGAUGUGGAGGAACACCAGUGGCGAAGGCGGCUUUCUGGUCUGUAACUGACGCUGAGGCGCG